GAUUUUCAAGACGCAUCUCAGCUGGUUGCUUCUCCUGUUUGAGGAACCAUCUGUCAAAGAGGCUGUCGCAACGACCCAGGAGGACCGGCAGUGUCCCUUUAGUGAAAACAAUCCAAUGGGACUCCGAAUUUGCCUGUUUAAGAA
rnacentral:lncRNA from 1 species